rnacentral:rRNA from 1 species
UACGGAGGGUGCAAGCGUUAAUCGGAAUUACUGGGCGUAAAGCGCACGCAGGCGGUCUGUCAAGUCGGAUGUGAAAUCCCCGGGCUCAACCUGGGAACUGCAUUCGAAACUGGCAGGCUAGAGUCUUGUAGAGGGGGGUAGAAUUCCAGGUGUAGCGGUGAGAUGCGUAGAGAUCUGGAGGAAUACCGGUGGCGAAGGCGGCCCCCUGGACAAAGACUGACGCUCAGGUGCGAAAGCGUGGGGAGCAAACAGG